rnacentral:tRNA from 1 species
GGAAAUGUGCCCGAAAGUAAGGGAUCACUUUGAUAGAGUGAAUCAUAUGGGUUCAAACCCCAUCAUCUCCU